AUGGGGGAGCUGGUGGUCGCCCGGAGGUACUGGUGCCACAUGUGCGCCGCGGCGGUCAGCCCCGUGGCCGCGGACGCCGGGGUGGAGAUCAAGUGCCCGUAUUGCGGCAGCGGCUUCCUCGAGGAGAUGGAGACCGCCCGCAGCAGCGUCGCCGCCGGCACCGCCCACGCCCACGCCAGCGGCACCUACCCUAGCGCCGACAACGCCAUCUCCAUCUGGGCCCCCAUCAUCGACAGCAUGGUCGGCGACCCCGUCCGGCGCCGUCGCAGCAACCGCCGUACUGUGGACGCCGUGGCCGCCGCAGAGGACGAGCUGGACAACGUCGACUUCUCGCGACGCCGGCGGCGCGCCACCGCGUUCCUGCGGCUCCUGCAGGCGAUCCGGGAGCGCCAGCUGCAGCGCCUUGAGUCCGCGGCCGCCCUCGGCAACGGUGGCGGCCUCGAGACAGAGCACUACAGCCCAUUCGGGCGGAGCAUCUUCGCGGCCGCCCCCCUCGGGGAGCACGGCAUGGCGCUGGGGGACUACUUUCUUGGGCCCGGGCUGGACGCCCUGAUGCAGCAGCUGGCCGAGAGCGACGCGGGACGGCAGGGCACGCCGCCGGCAAAGAAGGACGCCGUGGAGGCGCUGCCGACGGUGGAGGUGGUGGGUGGGUGCAACGAGGAGGACGCGGCCAGCUGCGCGGUGUGCCUGGAGGACUACGCGUCCGGCGAGCGCGCCCGGGAGCUGCCCUGCAGGCACAGGUUCCACUCGCAGUGCAUUGUGCCGUGGCUGGAGAUGCACAGCUCCUGCCCGGUCUGCCGGUUCCAGCUGCCGGCGGACGACGACCCAAAGAGCUCAUGCGGCAGCGGCAGUGGGAGUAGCAGCAGCACCACCACCACCUACGUCACCUAUGUCAGUGCUGAGGUGAACGACAAUGUGGAUGGUCAUGGCAACGAGAGUGGAGUUGAGGCAGCGGGCAAUGUGGCCGUGGAGCGCGAAGACGGCGAUGUGGAUGGUGAAGGAAACGUGAGCCGGCUGCCGGCGUCCAUACAGUGGCUCAAUAGCCUCUUCUCCCCGCAGGCUACAUCACCAUCGUCCACUUCCACUUCCGGCGGCAGCUCGCGGCACUUUGAGGACUAA
rnacentral:rRNA from 1 species